GCUACCUUUACAUCGUCCUUCCUCCUUCGUCCGCCCUCUCUCCCGUGCUCGAGCGAGCCGCCGCCACUUUUCCUCCCUCUAUCCCUGCCCGCUACCUCUCCCCUCUCACGCACAUCGCCCUCAGACGAUUCCCCUUCACCCACAUCGCCGCCCUUCCAAUCGCCUCCGCCUGGCACGCAAGCCCGCAUGCCGCUGCCACGGCAUCCUUGCACCCGCUGUACGUCAUGCGACCCAAGACGAGGUGCUCGCCGACGUGCUGCUCCUCGACGAGAUUCUCCCGCCACCUCCGUCGCCCUUGUUGCCAUGGAUCUCGUGGCACAUGUUUGGUGUCCUAGCCCCUCAUUUUGUGCUGGAUCUGGAGAUGGCACCAAUUUUGUUGGGGCCUCGGGAGCCGAGGUGUGGAGUCACCGCUGCUGCAGAGGCCAGUCACACGCGCGCCGCGCCCGAGCGCUCAUGCCGACACAACAUUAUUGUCAUUCGACCACCUGCUAGAGGAUCACCAUUCCUUCAUUGCUCAAGCAGAUUUUGGUCAAGGAGAUUUUUAAUGUGGAGUAGAACAUGUAUCUCGUCAACAACGGCUUAAACCUACGCAGUUCUUGGACAGUUCAAUAUGUGCGAAAGCAAGAUCAGGUAUGUGUGCGAAAACUCUUUGAGAGAUCAGAUCUAGCACUGCUGAGCAUACCCCUGCCAUCAAAAAUAAAGUCUGAGACAUGCUGCUCAUUUUGUGAACUCUGAAAUUAUUUUGCAUAUCAUUGGACAACCUUUCAUUCAUAUAGUAAGGGGCAUACUGUACCUUGAAACUCAUUCAAGUCAGAUUUAUUCUCAUGUUGUAUACGAGCUCUGUACCUGCUACUCAUUAAUGUUGUCAUAUAACAUAGCUGUUCGUGUUCCAUUGAUAAGUCUUUUUAUGCAGCGUCCAGUAAUCUGGAAUGUCUUUUUUUUUAUAUAUAUUGGAAUGUACCACUUCUGAGUUGCCAGAUAGGAAGUUAUAUUAGGUUACAACAUGGAUUUGGUCUUCUUAUGUAUACCAAUAUACACAUUAAGGAAGUUAGUUUCAGUUAGCUUUUUUAUACAGUGGAAAUGAAAUCUUUGUGUGCACUAUUUCCCGAGUGUCUAAUUUAUUUGAAUCGAUUCCUUUUGUUGAAACAAAACAUAACAUACUUCUUCCUUUCUGCAUAUUAAUAAUGUACCAGGCUGCUACAUGGCAUGUCAUAAACUUUGUCCCAGUACAGCUUAGUCCUCCAAUUCAUAUGUUUUAUUAACAUCAAGCUUAUGCAUGCACAAAGGGCUUUCCAAGGAUCCACUCUUAGUCCACCUAUCACAAAGAAGGCUAUAUUGGAUAUUGAGAAGUUAGCUGAUAUCAAAGCAGUUGCUAAAGGGAGUUAUCCACAGGUGGAAUUCACCAAGGUUUGUUUCACGUGUCAUCUCGAACUUGGAGAGGAGAUUCAUUAGCCAGGAUAGUGAAUUUAGACCCCCUAAAAUACUUCACUCGAGUUCGACCCACCAAACAUACUAUUCACCAGCUAACUAAAUGCUAUUUUUCUGAGCCUUAUGCGUGCAGAUAAUCAUUUUUUAUUUUGGUGAAUCACCAAGUGAAAUACUUGAGAUGUGAUUGGGCUGUUUGAUUUGGGAUGCAUGUUUGGUGUCGAUAGGUCUAGCCUGGCAGCCAAUGCCACCACGCGAAGGCCUGGAUUUCACACAAUCAGCGCAUACUGUGUCUCUUCUUAUCAUUUGCUUGUAUACUAUAAACCAUUUACUUGUAUGCUAUAAACCAUUUACUGUUAUCACCCUUCUAUUUGGACACAGAAAAGAGGUUUGCCUAAUACGCUGAUGUUAAUGCAUGUUUAGGAUGGCGCAUCAGCUCAAUUGUACCUUGCAAAGGAUUUAUUUUCAUAAAGCGGGCUGGCCAUGUGCUCCAUACGCAUGAGAUAUUUGCUGGAAUGAAUAGAUCAUGAUUUACUUAUUAUUUGCUCUCAUACACAUAGCCAUGCAUGCCUCUUGUGGUUCUUAUUCAAAUCAUUCAAGGAAAAUUCAGUAUAUACAUACUCUGAAUUUUGUCUCUCAGUGCUUAUUUGACAAUUUUACUGAAACAACUUCCUAAAGUAGUGUUACAUCAGAUGGACAGAGGUAAUCAGUUUUCACAUCUUUUUUAGGUACUUCUAUAUUGAAUAUGAUGGAGAUUGUUUUGUAUAGCAGCAAGCCACCGACAUGAAUGAUGGCAGCGAUAUUGUCCACUCCGUGAAUUCUGCUUUCUCGACUAACAAGCAGGAUGCUCAGAAACUUUUAAAAAUCCCUAGAAGAAUAAUGCUCGACGAAAUGCCGAAGCAACUUGGAUUUCCAGAGGCUCAGUAUCAAUGCAUGAUUUAUGAAGACCACAAAGUCUAUGUGACUGUUAUUUUCCAAACAUCAAAACUGUCCUGUCAAGGUUCCCUUGUCCCUAUGACUAUCCGGAGUCAAGUCCAUGGAUGGCAUCUUAGCGGAACACACCGCUACUGUAGCGGCUAUUAGUUAAAUGGAGAGUGAGGCUAAUACAAUGAUCAAAGAUUAAACUAUGGCUGGUUAAAGCAGUUAGAAGAGAACAAAUCCCUCAAGAUUCAGCUCGGGAAGGCAGACACUAAGGGUAAAAAACUUGCUAGAGGUUGGUUUCUAUCUGCGAGGCAUAUGUGCUCAUUUUCAUCCCAGUCUAAUAAUUUGACAUUUUUCAGCAUUGUUCAUAUAUCCAACUGAUGUAGGGUAAUACGAGGCCGUUUCACUAUUUACCCAUAUAGUAUCUUUUCUGCAGCUGGAGAAAAGGUUGUUGUAAUUUAUAUAGAUGUUCUACAUCAUAUAGCACAAGGUUCUUGUGGAAUUUGAUUUCUUUAGUUCAGUUUACUGAUCUUUAACUAAACCUGGGUAGUGGCCUUGUUCCUAGCUGUUUACCAAAGCCCAAGUUUCGUGGGAUCCUUCUGCCUCAGCUAAUCUCGUGGGCUUAGGAUGCCCUGUUGCUUGGGUGGGAUGCGUUAGUUGAGGUUCCUCUGUUUUGUAGUUCUUGUGUGCCUUCGAGUCCAUCAGGGGACGACAACUGAUGUGUAUGACUAUCAGUGCUCUUAUUAUUUUCAAAGAAGAUGCAGAAUGCUUGGGACAAUUACUGAUGUUUUUCACUGCCGGUGAUCUCCUUAUUUUCAGAGAAGACGCAGAAAGCUUCCAUAUUUUUCUGUUGAGCAGGUGCUCUUUUUUUUUAGAGAACAUGCCUUGCAUUCCUCCCAGAACUCUAGCUUUCAAAUGGAUCAUGUAUCACACGAGUACCAAAUUGCUUUGCUAAAUAUCCAUGUUCUCUAGCCCUUCCAUUUAUUUAUUCACUACAGAAUUUCUUGUGAAGUUUCAACUUCAUUAACGAAUGGAUACUUUGAUGGAUUCUUAUGAAUGAUGCUCAACAUAAAUGUGCCAUAAGUGUUUGAUGCAUGAUCAAAACUAAUCUGCACUGACAUCAAAGUAAAGUAAUGUAAAAUGAAUGAAUGAAAGAGACACAAUCUGGAUACUUUUACACUCUCUGGGUACUUUUGAAGGGGUUGGAAAAUCUGUCUUAUAGCACUGGAUGCAACAAUUUGUUUUGGUUAAUGUAACCGUGUGAUACUCUUUUGGAGAGAAUUUUGAGCUACUCCUUGUUUAUUGCAAAGCACAAUUUGUUUUGGUUAACGUAACUGAUAGGAAGCUCUUCUGAAAUUUAAUAUACAAUUAGUAGCUCUAUUUGCAGCGAAAAUGUUGAAAUAGGGGCCCACAAAAAAACAAAAUGUAAUUCUCGUUCAAAGCUAAUCAUUGUAAUUCUCCAUCAGUACUUUCAUCUUUAUAAAAUGGGUGGUUUCAUGUGUAUAUUUCUAUAUACACAAGUAUGUCUACCCAACUUUUCUGAACAUGUCAAAGUUUAUGAAUUUUAUACAUACUAAAGUAUAGAAACACAUUCAUGUAUUGUACUACUAUGGAAGUCAAAAUUCUUAUAUCCGUUCUAAGAAAAUCCAUAUAUGCUAUAAGGGGAGUACUCGUAUUUAUAAGAUCAUAGAAUGGCUAUAUUGCCUAGAGAAUAUAUGAAGCACAUAAAGCAUGCUGAUGAUUUUUGUUAUCCAAAGGUCUUACUGGCAUGUUUUUUCAGUUUAAAUUAGUUAACUUUGUAUAUUGAAAUACAUUUAACCAAUCGUCGAUCAAUAUAUGUGUUUCAUAUAUAUAUUAGCUUAACUCUAAUUGUAUGCUCUUAAACUUUGAGCAUUGCCCCAUAAACAUGACACGUCUCAUGUUGUGGCUUAGAGUACAAUCCUCCUUCUAGAUGACCUCCUUAAUUAUUUUUUUGUCUAUCAUAACAAUUAUUUAAACUGAUAAAACUUGGCUUACUCCUACUGUAACUAUGUGUUAAAUUGCUAUUUGUUUGCUAGACUACAGGUUAGCAGUACAGAAAAUUAUAUAAGUGUAAAUUGUGUUAUGUAAUUCCUGAUAAUUGUUUUU